rnacentral:rRNA from 1 species
UACGUAGGGUCCGAGCGUUGUUCGGAAUUACUGGGCGUAAAGCGCGCGUAGGCGGCUAUCCAAGUCAGAGGUGAAAGCCCUGGGCUCAACCCAGGAAUUGCCUUUGAAACUGUUUAGCUUGAGUGUCGGAGGGGAUAGCGGAAUUCCUAAUGUAGAGGUGAAAUUCGUAGAUAUUAGGAGGAACACCGGUGGCGAAGGCGGCUAUCUGGACGACAACUGACGCUGAGGCGCGAAAGCACGGGGAUCAAACAGG